UUUGAGCGGGAUCUGUUAUCGUG
rnacentral:miRNA from 1 species